rnacentral:rRNA from 1 species
UACGGGGGGGGCAAGCGUUGUUCGGAAUUAUUGGGCGUAAAGCGCGCGCAGGUGGUUUCUUAAGUCUGAUGUGAAAGCCCACGGCUCAACCGUGGAGGGUCAUUGGAAACUGGGAGACUUGAGUGCAGAAGAGGAAAGUGGAAUUCCAUGUGUAGCGGUGAAAUGCGUAGAGAUAUGGAGGAACACCAGUGGCGAAGGCGACUUUCUGGUCUGUAACUGACACUGAGGCGCGAAAGCGUGGGGAGCAAACAGG